rnacentral:rRNA from 1 species
GACGAACGCUGGCGGCGUGCUUAACACAUGCAAGUCGAACGGAAAGGCCCUGCUUGCAGGGUACUCGAGUGGCGAACGGGUGAGUAACACGUGGGUGAUCUGCCCUGCACUUCGGGAUAAGCCUGGGCAACUGGGUCUAAUACCGGAUAGGAGCCAUUUUUAGUGUGAUGGUUGGAAAGUUUUUUCGGUGUAGGAUGAGCUCGCGGCCUAUCUGCUUGUUGGUGGGGUAAUGGCCUACCAAGGCGGCGACGGGUAGCCGGCCUGAGAGGGUGGACGGCCACAUUGGGACUGAGAGACGGCCCAGACUCCUACGGGAGGCAGCAGGGGGGAAUAUUGCACAAUGGGCGCAAGCCGGAUGCAGCGACGCCGCGUGGGGGAUGACGGCCUUCGGGUUGUAAACUCCUUUCGCUAGGGACGAAGCUUUUUGUGACGGUACCUAGAUAAGAAGCACCGGCUAACUACGUG